GCCCUUUUCUGAUUCCACCAGGACACACCUGGCAAUGAAUGUGACAUUCAACACUGCCCAGGUUUCUUCCACUUGGAGGAGGCAAACUGGUGAAUGGAAGGAGGCAAUCCUCUGGCAGUGGGAUCCUAGGGAGCGAUAAUAAGGCAAGUUUGCUUGCUUGAAGGCUGCUGCUGGCCACCCGCGUCCCUAUAAAAAUUAGCAUCCAGACAACAGACUAAGCACCAGGUCACCUGAUUACAAUCUUCCCCAGACUGUGGAGAUGCAUUUCUAUUUAAAUCUGUGCCCUCUUUUGGCUUUUGGGGUGGGGCGUGAUGUAGUUCCUCUGUUUUGGCAAUGCCACUUUACAUCUCAGUGGGAAGUGGCCCAAGACUUGGAAGGUCAGCAUCCAGGCCAGGGCAAAUGAAUAUCUCAAAGAUUGCUCUUCCCAACAGAUAAUCCCAUCAGCUGAUACUGCUGGGCUGCUUGAAAUUGCAGUAAGAGACAUCCGAAAACGUCUGCUGCUAAUAGAUCGGAUCAUAUCUGAUGAGAGGCUUAUAUUGCUUUUGGCCAGCCGUUGCUGCUGUCCAGAGAAUAAAAAUAAAUUUCAGAGACAUGGCUAUCAGAGAGUCCGUUUCAAGAUGAAAACCCGAAAUUAAAACUUUAAAAACAAUGAACCCAAUGUACCAAGGGGGUUUUCAUUAUGGCCGCUGACUGCCAAAUCAGAAAUACUUUUUGCACAAAUUAUUGAGGUGACCACAGCAUUGAGAGAAUCCCUGUGGGCCACAUAAGGAUCAGUAUAGCUGCUAAUGGAGAAACUGACUCAACAGGGAAUUGCAGUGCUGAAAAUCCUAGGAAGCCAUAACACUUUGCAAUUUGGAGAGGGGUCUCCUGUUACAGGAGGCACAUAAAUGUUAUUGUUCUGUGCAAGUGCGUACCGUUUUAUGCACUUUUAUGGGAUGCCACUGACAGUUUGGCGAGAG